CUAGCGUAUUAUUUGGAAGGUUUCUCUACCCAGAGAAAACUAAUGAAGGAUGGUACCUGGACUACACGCUUAUCCAUAAUACAGCUUUGCUGUAAUAAAAUACAAUAGCAAUAAUUAGUAACGCUAAAAGGUGUGUGGGAAGCCCUUUUGUGAAAAUUAGAGUUAUGGUGGAUAAAUAAUUAUGGGUAAGCUAGCUGGU
rnacentral:sRNA from 12 species